rfam:Picea glauca, whole genome shotgun sequence.
GCGGACGUAGUCAAGUGGACCAAGGUUGUGGAUUGUGAAUCCACCAUGCACGGUUUCAAUUCCCAUCGUUCGCC